UACAGAGGCCUCGAGCGUUGUUCGGAAUUACUGGGCGUAAAGGGAAUGUAGGUGGUUAUGUAAGUCAGAUGUGAAAGCCCUGGGCUUAACCUGGGAAGUGCAUUUGAUACUGCGUAGCUAGAGUGCGAGAGAGGAAAGCGGAAUUCCUGGUGUAGGGGUGAAAUCCGUAGAUAUCAGGAGGAAUACCGAUGGCGAAGGCAGCUUUCUGGCUCGUAACUGACACUGAGAUUCGAAAGCAUGGGUAGCAAACAGG
rnacentral:rRNA from 1 species